UGCGUGCUUCGUGGAUGUGUGCCAAAGAAAUUGUUGGUUUAUGCAUCAAAGUUUUCUCAUGAGUUUGAAGAGAGUCAUGGCUUUGGAUGGAAUUAUGAAGCUGACCCUAAGCAUGAUUGGAGUACUCUGAUGGCCAAUAAGACCGCAGAAUUACACCGCCUGACUGGAAUUUACAAAAAUAUUUUAAAGAAUGCUGGGGUGACACUGAUUGAGGGCCGUGGAAAGAUUGUUGGUCCACAUGAAGUUGAUGUAAAUGGUAAGCGAUACUAUGCAAGACACAUACUCAUAUCUGUUGGCGCACGACCAUCAAUUCCAGACAUUCCUGGAAAGGAGUUUGCUAUCGACUCGGAUGCUGCAUUAGAUCUGCCUUCAAAGCCUGAGAAGAUUGCGAUAGUUGGGGGAGGGUACAUUGCAUUGGAGUUCGCUGGCAUCUUCAAUGGUUUAAGGAGUGAUGUCCAUGUAUUUAUCAGGCAAAAGAAAGUUCUAAGAGGCUUUGAUGAAGAGAUUAGAGAUUUUGUUGGCGAGCAGAUGUCGCUAAGGGGCAUUGAGUUUCACACUGAAGAGUCACCUCAGGCUAUUCUUAAAUCAGCAGAUGGUUUGCUAUCAUUGAAAACUAGCAAAGGAACCGUCGAUGGUUUCUCUCAUGUAAUGUUUGCAACUGGUCGAAAGCCCAACACGAAGAACUUGGGGUUAGAGGAAGCUGGUGUAAAAUUGGACAAGAAUGGAGCAAUAUUGGUCGAUGAAUACUCUCGUUCAUCUGUUGACUCUAUUUGGGCUGUUGGAGAUGUAACUGAUAGGAUCAAUUUGACACCUGUAGCAUUAAUGGAAGGAGGGGCAUUUGCAAAGACUGUGUUUGGAAAUGAACCUAUAAAGCCAGAUUACAGGGCGGUCCCUUCAGCUGUCUUUUCUCAGCCGCCGAUUGGUCAAGUUGGUCUUACUGAAGAGCAGGCAAUUCAAGACUAUGGCGAUGUUGACAUCUUCACAGCAAACUUCAGACCUUUGAAGGCUACUAUCUCUGGGCUACCUGAUCGAGUACUCAUGAAAAUAAUUGUUUGUGCUAAGUCAAACAGAGUUUUGGGUGUGCAUAUGUGCGGAGAAGACUCACCAGAGAUUAUUCAGGGAAUUGCUAUUGCUGUUAAAGCUGGAUUGACUAAGGCGGAUUUUGAUGCCACAAUUGGGAUUCAUCCUACAUCUGCUGAAGAAUUUGUCACAAUGAGGACUCCAACCCGUGAAAUUCGAAAGGCUCAGACUCCAGAUGAGGAGAAGAUCGGGCAGGUCAAAUCUGCAGUAGAUAUUUAGUUCACAAUGAGACAAUAAGCAAUGUUAAAGACAUGUAGAUUUACAGCUUGUCAUGGCUCUAUCCAUGGAAUUGACGGUGGAUAAUCUUUUUGUGAGAUUAAUGGCCAAAAUCAUUUUGUGCAUUAAUGUUGUAAAGAGAACCUUGAAGACAAGCCUUAGCCAUCACUAACCUACUCUGUAGAGACCGUUCUCCACAUUGGCUUCAAGGCUUAAAGCAGACCCAUUCUAUAACGCUAUUUCGUUCGUAAUGGCUUCAGAACAUCGCUGAAAAAAAAAAACAUUUUGAAGGGAAGAAAAUUCAGAACUUCUACAGAGAAGGAAAUCCUACAUAGAGGCCUUUACAGGUACCAAACUUUGGCAAGAAGAACAAGUACAGUUCAUUUAUAUGUUUCCAGUAUUGUAACUUUCUUUAGUGAAUGGUUCUCUGCGUUGAUGCAAUGAGUUCUAUAGAACAUUGCUUAGUAAAUUGUCUGUAAUUUUAUGCUUAUUUGUUCUUGUGGAAAAGGACUUGCAUUGAAGCAAUAAACUGUAAAUAUUUUGUUUUUUGUUGAGAUACAGUAGAAGAGAUUUGUUCAUUCUCUAUGCUA